GUCUACGGCCGUACCACCCUGAAUGCGCCCGGUCUGGUCUGAUCUCGGAAGCUAAGCAGGGUCGGGCCUGGUUGGCACUUGGAUGGGAGAAAAGUUGGUUCUCAGGCCGUGCCCAGACC
rnacentral:rRNA from 1 species